rnacentral:lncRNA from 1 species
CACAUGACUGCUACACGAUUCUCUAAAAGUGUGUGCAGAUCUGAUAAACUCUCAUAACUCUGUCUCCGCAAAAAUAUAUUGGCAACAUCAUAUUUAACUGUACAAAAAUUCCUCUAUGUACAGUACGUGUCUUUACUUUUGCAAGUAGAGGUAACAUUUUAAAUGAGAGGCAAAAGAAACCAUAGAAACAAUCCAACUCAAAGGUCGAAAACAAAGCGACUCAGACAUAGCAAAACAAAAAACGACAAGAAGACAAACAGCAAGCCACAUAACAUACAUAACUUGGACGAAGUCAGGUGUUCCGUAAGGGAAGAAUAUCCUGCAAUUUUGGCACCGGCGGAUUUUUCAAAUACGAAAGUAAUUGAGCAAUAACAUUCAUUAUUAGACUGCUGACGACUAAAUUAUCUUUCGAAGUUUGUUUAUAAGAGCAGCGAUCAAGAUUAUAUUUACCUGUUUUAUGGGAUAUUUUCUGUUUUGUCCGUCUGUAUUUUUCGUUUGUCUAGAAAUGUUUGCACUAGUAUAAAAACAAAGAUGUAGUACAAUUGCCAACGAGACAGCUCUUCACAG